rnacentral:misc_RNA from 1 species
UUGAAUUUUAACGAAGAGUUUGGUUGUAGCUGGCCCAUUCAUUUGGGCAUGUGCACACCUUCCUCUUUCAUCCCACACACACCUGUGAACCUGUGAGACAGAGAUGGGGAAUUUACUUGCUGCUUUUUGGAAUACAAAGGCAAUAGGUUAUUGGACCCCCCCUCUGUCUACUCAAUUAAUAUAAACUCAAUUUAUUUUAAAACGAAUGUAAUGGAUGUAACACAUCUCAUAC